rnacentral:ncRNA from 2 species
CUUCAGGGAUCGGUGAAAUUCCGUACCGGCGGUAAAGCCCGCGAGCGUCAAGCUGAUUUGGUGAAAUUCCAAAGCCGACAGUUACAGUCCGGAGGAGAGAAG